UACGGAGGGGGCUAGCGUUGUUCGGAAUCAUUGGGCGUAAAGGGCGCGUAGGCGGCCGAUCAAGUCGGAGGUGAAAUCCCUCGGCUCAACUGAGGAAUUGCCUUCGAUACUGUUCAGCUUGAGUCCUGGAGAGGGUAGCGGAAUUCCCGGUGUAGCGGUGAAAUGCUUAGAUAUCGUCAAGAACACCUAUAGCGAAGGCAGCUUACUAAGCUGUAACUGACGCUGAGGCACGAAAGUGUGGGGAUCAAACAGG
rnacentral:rRNA from 1 species